AGCGCAGACGGUUGAUUAAGUCUGAUGUGAAAGCCCGGAGCUCAACUCCGGAAUGGCAUUGGAAACUGGUUAACUUGAGUGUUGUAGAGGUAAGUGGAACUCCAUGUGUAGCGGUGGAAUGCGUAGAUAUAUGGAAGAACACCAGUGGCGAAGGCGGCUUACUGGACAACAACUGACGUUGAGGCUUGAAAGUGUGGGUAGCAAACA
rnacentral:rRNA from 1 species